CAGAGUUGCAAAACUCCCAACCAUUGUGAACCUACCACGACAUGCUACAGCGGGAGGGUAACCGCCCGCUGCUGUGUGCAAACUCUUGCUACAGUGUAUCUCUGAGUAGCUUAUUUAAUAAGUCA
rnacentral:misc_RNA from 1 species